rnacentral:rRNA from 1 species
ACACCGGCAGCUCAAGUGGUGGCCGUUUUUAUUGGGCCUAAAGCGUUCGUAGCCGGCCUGAUAAGUCUCUGGUGAAAUCCCGCAGCUUAACUGUGGGAAUUGCUGGAGAUACUAUCAGGCUUGAGGUCGGGAGAGGUUAGAGGUACUCCCAGGGUAGGGGUGAAAUCCUAUAAUCCUGGGAGGACCACCUGUGGCGAAGGCGUCUAACUGGAACGAACCUGACGGUGAGUAACGAAAGCCAGGGGCGCGAACCGGAUUAGAUGCCCGGGUAGUCCUGGCCGUAAACGAUGUGGACUUGGUGUUGGGAUGGCAUCGAGCUGCCUCAGUGCCGAAGGGAAGCUGUUAAGUCCACCGCCUGGGAAGUACGGUCGCAAGACUGAA